rnacentral:rRNA from 1 species
GACAGAGGUGGCGAGCGUUGUUCGGAUUUAUUGGGCGUAAAGAGCGCGUAGGUGGUCUUGUAAGUUGGGGGUGAAAUCCCGGGGCUUAACCCCGGAACUGCCUCCAAUACUGCAAGACUUGAGUGCGGGAGAGGGUAGUGGAAUUCCCAGUGUAGAGGUGAAAUUCGUAGAUAUUGGGAAGAACACCAGUGGCGAAGGCAGCUACCUGGACCGCAACUGACACUGAGGCGCGAAAGCGUGGGGAGCAAACAGG